UCCUCCGAAUGAUAAUCAGCAAAGCCUUGAAGGCGGUUUUGUCCCAAGGGAUCGAGUCAAACUUCUUGCUUUUUUCUGACCGCCUGACUGACUUGAGUGUUGUUCUGCAAAACUCGCAGUUCAACUUAGUUUCCUCACUUUGCUUGCAAGCCACUCCGCAAGAGGUCCGGAAUUGUUUGAAAUCUGGGAAAAUCUUUGCCUGAAGUUUCUGACUGGUGAAGAGAGGCUCCGGCCUCGCAUCUCCAUCAACAAGUCAAUAGAGGCUGUGGCUUGCUGAGACAUUAGCGUGGAAGCAAUGAAGAACAACCACGGGGCAGCAGCGAGGAGCCCAAAAUGGCCGCAAAUAUAUAGUUCCAGACGCCGACUCUACUCCACAACAAACACGUCUGCUUCCAUGACCUAGAUAAUUCGAAUCAUGCCAAAACCUUGGCGUCUGACAAGCUCAGGAGAGGAGAUGUUUUCUCGAGUUUACAAUUUCCUUCAUCUUUAUUUGUGACUUGGGAGGUCAGAAGGCAAACGCAGAGCAUCGCAGACAUGAUGUCAUCACUGCCUGCCGGUCUACAAGUGACAAUGCAACAGCUUGCUAGAGAGAUUGGAUUUUACAUUUUCAAACACACACACACGCAUGCAUACUUGCAGAUCUCUGACAGCGCUUCAGAGCCUUGGCCAUGUGUCCCACAGGUUUGGUGUUUAAUCAAAGAGAAUAGUGGCAGGGGAGAAAGGGAGGAGAAAGGAGGGAGGGAGCUGGCUCAUGUGGAAAGCCCCCCCCUCAACCCGAGGCAAGGCUAUUUGUCGGGCCCCUGGUGGAAGCCCAACAUUAGCCCUCUGGGGCCCUCAAGGAGCCCGCAGGAUCAUACACUUGACAAAUAUUGGGAUUGGAGCUGGAGUGAGGCAUUGUGGACAUGGGCGGGGGCGUAAGGCCCUGAAGCAGAUGGUCGUAAAUGUUCAUUUAAGACAGACGAUUGAUUUGACGAAACAGAUAUCCAGCCUCGUUAAGCAGAAAGUACCUCUGGGACCUGGUGGGGGGGGUUGUCUAAUUCUAACCUCCGCCUGUGCCGACCGUGCUGGCAAACCAGGACAGAAUAAGAGCACGACAGAGAGCAAAAUAGUUCCUGUCAAGAUGAAAUGAAAUUUGUGCGCACGCAAACACACAAAGCGCCAGGAACAAGCACGACUUUGCUCCUGUUUGUAUAUUCACAUUGGCGAUCCGGGCCCUGCUGUCAUGCCCUUCUAGAAAGAUCUGCUCGAACACGUUCUUCCUCGUUCGUCAGUGAUGUGACACGACUGCGAGAGGAGAUUGCGUCUUCUCCUCGCCGCAUGCAAAGCGGCGCCGGUGUGCAGUCGAGCCAUCGAGCCGUUCUCACUCGCCACAUCCCUUUAAUUGGCUAAAAUGAUGGCCUUUCAUCAAUAUUGCCUUUAAAAAAUGUCUGCUUUCUCUCUCGCUCUCUGCAUCUCCUCCCACUUUUCUUUCACUUUGUGUAUUUUCAGACCUUUAUUCAAUCCAAUCAUGGCCAGCGUGGCGGCGCUCCGUCGAGGCCAUGCACGCCGCAGCCAAGUCUUUGUGUCUCAGCAUUAAGAAAUGAGCACAGAGAGGACGAGAGGAGAGGUCUCAUUAGCGCCACAAUCACAAAGAAGACAAUUAUCAGUCUGCAAGCCACGGUCGGAGAUUUAGAAGGACGCCAAGUGGAGCGGCCGGCAACUGGACAUGACACCUAAGGAGAAGCUGAUCUCGCUCUUUCGAUUUUACACACGCAUAGAUGCCCAUAUAACAAAUCCCAAAUCACAUAAAAAAAUAAACCCGCAGGAGCACAUUAAUAUCAUCACAAAUUAUUUUCCAGCUACUAUCAUAAUAAUACUAAUUCCAUACAAUGGCAACACAUUGAAGUGUAAAUUCAGAGUCUGUUCUUUUUUUGGUAUCUAUUAAAAUGAUGUGAUGGAAAAUGAAUUACAUAUUGUGUGAUUUGUAAGAAAAGUGUGAAGAAAUAAAUUGUUUAUUUUGAA